rnacentral:rRNA from 1 species
UUGUUAUUCCCGCCUAUAUACCGCCGUCGUCAGCCCACCCUGUGAAGGCCUAGAAGUGAGCAGAAUUGGUAAAACCUAAAACGUCAGGUCGAGGUGUAGUAUAUGAGAGGGGAAGAAAUGGGCUACAUUUCCUAACCUAGGAAAUACGAACAAUGUACUGAAACAAACAUUAGAAGGUGGAUUUAGCAGUAAGCAAGAAAUCAGAGAGUUCUGCUGAAGAUCUACGGCACUAAAGCACGCACAUAUCGCCCGUCACUCUCCCCGAAAAUACACAAACACUAUACCUAAAAAGUCAUAUCAAUAAAGGGGAGGCAAGUCGUAACAUGGUAAGCGUACCGGAAGGUGCGCUUGGAUUAAA